AUCAUGUUUUUGUAUUUAAAAUCGUUCAGACGAGAUAUUAUUUUCAUUCUGGCAUCGACAUGAAAGUAGUUCUUAUACUUAUAGCGUUGUUGGUAAUUGGCCGAGCUGAGGCUGGUCCUUUGAACAACGUUGGAGAGGAGUAUGGUCGACUGGGCAGGGCUUAAGGAUGGUUAUCUCAAAAUGAUGAGGCACCUAAAGUUCCGGAACCAGUAGAGUGAGAUGUCAUCAUUAUCUGACAUCCAAAACAGUAGAGCACCUGUUACAUUGUUGUUUAUUUCUUGAACUCAUGUUGUUCUAAGAAGUAGUCAUUCAAUUGUAUGAGGAGGUUCUAUUUCCAGAUCAUCUCAGAUAUCAUAUUCAUAAAAUUAAGUAAAUAUAUGUGUAAAUAUUUCUAUUACCAGAGAAGCAUUCGUAUAAUCAUUUUCUGAAAUUCCAAUAUUUAUAAGGUCUAUGUAAUUGAUUAGGUCUUAGACUAUGUAAUUCAUAGCGAAAUUUGUUAAUGUGUUUGCUAAAUGAUAUUUGCUAAUAAUCUCUUGUUCAAUAUGUAAUUCACGUAUAAGGUAAUUAUUUUCAUUUUAACAUUAACGACAUAUUCAUUGUAUAAGUGUUUUUGCCAUCAACCAGUUAAUGACUAUCGGAUACUGAAAGCUUUAAUCUAGCAUGUUCCGGUAGGAUGUGCCGUUGAUGACAUAGACACUUAUUGUCUUAAUAAAAAAAGUUAUAAUCUAAAAA